rnacentral:rRNA from 1 species
UUCAGACGAUGCGUCAUGCAUAUCAAUAAGCGGAGGAAAAGAAACUAACAAGGAUUCCCCUUAGUAACGGCGAGUGAAGCGGGAAGAGCUCAAAUUUGAAAUCUUCAAGGGUUUACCUUUACGAAUUGUAGUUUAAAGAAGUGUUUUCUGCUGAGGUUUUGGUAAAAGUUCUUUGGAAUAGGACAUCAUAGAGGGUGAGAAUCCCGUAUUUGACCAUUAUUUUCAGCUUUGUGAUACACUUUCAAAGAGUCGGAUUGUUUGGGAAUGCAGUCCAAAAUGGGUGGUAAAUUUCUAUCUGAAGGCUAAAUAUUGGCGAGAGACCGAUAGCGAACAAGUACCGUGAGGGAAAGAUGAAAAGAACUUUGAAAAGAGAGUUAAACUAGUACGUGAAAUUGUCAAAAGGGAAGCGUUUGACACCAGUGUUGUUUUCUCGAAAAUCAAUUAAAAAUGGCUCGAUUUUGUAUUGCUUGAGACCUUAAAAGCUCACUGUACAUUUUUCGUGUCUUUUCUAAUGCACUUUUCGUUUAACAAGUCAACGUCAGUUUCUUUUGUUGUAAAAGGGUCAUUGGAAGGUGGCUUUCUUUUCGGAGAAAGUGUUUAUAGCCUUUGGUCCUCUGCAAUCGGAGAGACUGAGGUCUGCAGCGUAGACUCUUCGGGGUUAGAUACAUUUGUGCUAAGUUAUAGCUUUUUAUAGACAACUUGUUGACUAUAAUUAGUCUUGUAGCUUACUCGCUUAUGCUAUUUUACCUACGCUUAGGAUGUUGACUGAUAUGUAGUCGUA